GUAAAUCCGGAGUGAUCUCUGGGGUCAUAUGGGACAAUAUUGGUAUCAAAAGAAAGAGGAGAACCUCAGCUAUCCACCAAUGUCCUAUUCUUUCGAGUUUUUGACUUGGAAAGAUUAUUUCAUGCGAAAAACAAGACUUUUUUGUGUUUUUAAACAUUUUCUGGUGCGAAAUGUCAGAAGAAUCAGAAAUCCGAACGAAUUUCGCCACGCCAUUGAGCACUGUGAAAGAAGCAUUAUGUGAAAAUUGUCGCAACUUUAACGACGACGAUUUGCGUUUGCUUAUUUGGAAAUGGGGCGAAGCCUGGCUGGAAAGUAUUCAUCCCUAUCAUACUGUAUAACAUGGUCAUGGAUUGAAAGUGUUAAUGGCUUCAAUUUUAUGGAUCCUUAGGCUUAGCCUGAAUCAGUAAAUGAGUCACAAGAACAGUAUGUAGGAAAAUGUAUCUGUUGAUAAGCAGUCCAGUUUCAUGUACAUAGUCCAGCAGUUUUUAUGUCCAAAUCUUUGAAAGGUAUUAUUAUUAUUAUUAUUUGUAAAAAUAAUUAUUUUCCUAUGUGAAAUGCCUAAAAUAAAUAGAUUCACAAUAAUGUGACGUCAUCUGUGACGUCAUGGAUCCGUUGUGUUGUCAUGGAAACAGGCAUGUGGAGUUCAUUCCGAAUUUUUUAGUGCUUAAAGUAACAAAAUUGUUGAAAUAUUUCAUUAUAAUGCUCAGGAUAGGAAUAUAGUAAUACAAGGUUACUAUAAACUGUAAACUUACAAUGACGUCGUUGUGACGUCAUCAAGUUUUCAUGGUAACACAAUUUUGUAACAUUGUUUGAACAAUUAUGACAACAUUGAUG